rnacentral:tRNA from 1 species
AGGGGUGUGGCUCAGUGAUAACAGUGUUUGUCUAGCAGGCAGGAGGACCUGGGUUCAAUGCCCAGCAUCACAA